GCCAAGGGUCAGACUGCAGGCAGCAGCAGGACUGUGGGGCCCAGGAGCGGGCCUUCCGAGCCUCCCAGGACUCCCCUUUCCAAAGGCCCUCACUGGGGAACGCGGAAGGCUGGCCACACGUGAGACAGCCACUGUGGUCUCGCCAUGUAGUCCAGGCCAGCCUCGAACUCACAGCAAUCCUCCUGCCUCAGCCUCCAGUGCUAGGAUUACAGGAGCCUGGAGCUGUGUCCUGCAGGAGCAGGGUGACCAGAGAGCUGUCACAAGCUCAGCCCUCCCAGGAGUGCCUUCGGCUUGGCCCAGUUCCAGGGAGCAGAGGCGUCGAAGCGCAGCCUCAGACCCAGGCUGCACAUCUGGGGGCUCAGACGAGGACUGGGGCUGGCUCAGGGCCACGUGUCACUCUGUCCAAACCUACUGCUGACCGGGCCACAUGGCAUUGGCCCCAGGUACCCGCAGCCCCAUCCUCUGCAGUCUCGGAUUAGGGCCGUUGUGACGUCCUAGGGCCCAGGCGUCACAGGGCUGGCCCUCCGUGUGCCCUGAGAUUGAGUGGCAUGUGCACACCCAGAGCCUGUGAACCUGCGCGUGACGCAGCCCGACCUGACCCAGAGCUGGCAGAGCGGGGUGGCCGGCAGCUUGGGGACAUCAGCUGGGACUUGUGGGGCUCCAGGCAGGCACAGGGGCAGACGCAGAAGCUGUCUUCCAGGGAGAGAGCAUCUGCGGUCAGGACGCCCAGGUGUAUUUUGUCAUUUCCUUAGUUCAGAGCCCAAAGAGAAGCCACCGUUCCCUGCCUCCUCCUCCCCACAUCUGUCCCUGGGGUGUGCUGUCCCCUAACUCCACUCCCGGGAACCCCACAGAGCGAGGACGGUGGGAGCGGGGACAGCCUGGCCAGGCUGAGGCCAAGGGAGUUAGAAAGAGCAGCCAGGAAUGGAGGGAAGCAGCAGGCUGGAGAAGAGGAAAGAAAAGCAGAGGUUCCCAGCCCACAGCGCCAGCUGUGGUGUCAUUUCCCACAGUCCUCUGCUGCGCUGAGCAAGUGUCUCUCUGCAGCCUGCAGAGUUCAUUCGCCUAGCGGGGGCGGUGGCGGUGUGCUGGGGAUGGUGGUUCGUCCCCAGCUCCAGCCAGGCAGAGUCAGCGCUGGUGUCAGGAGCAAGGUGGUUCACAGCUCCCGCAGAGCGGGGAGAAACCUUGGCUAGCGAGAGACCCCCGUGACCUUGUGGCCUUCCUGCACCCCGCCUUCAGGUUCCACUCCUGGGACCCACGCUGGCACCCCAUGACGUCUGCCAUGCCAGCUGGCUGGGGCUGUUCCCUUGCCCCUUGCUGCCCUCGGUCUGGCUGGCUGGGACAGGCUCCUCAGCCGCCACCGCUGACAAGUGCCGACUUCUCCUCCCCCUCGCAGCCUUCCUGAACAGGCUGCCUGUGUUCCGGGGGGAGGCACCAUGACGCCUGCUCCUCCGGGCCAGCCACGCUGGCUGGCCGGCUGGCCUCGGGCAGGGACACGGCGGAUCUUCACAGGCAGCCUCUACCUGGGCAGGGAGGGUGGGAGGGCCUUCCCCAGGGCCUAGUGGGCAGAACAGGGUCCCCAG